UGCACUUUUGGUGCGGCCAACCGACAUGGGGCUGUCUCUUCACUCUCCCACCCGUCAUUGAAUUUGUCGGGCUGGGAUGCUUGUGAUCGGUUGCCUGUGCGGUUCUACCCUCUGGUGGGUAGCGAAGUCGUCCCUCGAUGGAUAUUUGCUUGCCCGGCUGACAUUUUUGUGUCGUUCGGGCAGCCGAAAUGUUGGCGAAAUCCCUGUGUUGGUGCGCGGUUGAACGCUGUGUCGCUAUCCCUUGGAUUUCUGCCGGCUCUCACGGAUGCGGUGCCUAGUGCUAGCUCUCCGGGGCUCUGUCCCGCAGACUUCGGGAGGUCCCUUGUACGAGUCAUUGCUCUUAUACGCCGUCUCGCGUGUUGCCGCUGGUGACACGCAGAUCGUGUUCUGUCGUGCCGUCGUUGGCGACAUGGCAGAACAAAGUGUCCGGAGCGUGCUCGCGUGCAUGCGGAAUGCCUCUCCGUCCGUAUGAGCAGCGAUUUCCGGUCUGCGUCGUGCGAUGGCCUCCGCCCGUCCGGGCUGGUGCCGGAGCUGACGCGCCGGCUCUC
rnacentral:misc_RNA from 1 species